AAAGUCAUGAUGUCUUAUGUCAGUCUUUUAAGGUGAAAAAACUAAAAGCUUAAAACUUGGAAUCACUUAUAUACUCAGUAAGAACCCCAAACUCCUGCUCUGUUAAAGUGAACCAUGGAUAUGUCAUUUGCUAACAAAAAAUUUAAAAUAUUCACAAGCUGUGUAUUAAGAAAUUAAAGAUGAAAACCUGGAUAUAUAGAAGGCAAAUUAAUUCACUUUACAAAAGGACUUUCUAUAGCUUCUAACAGCAAGAUUCCUUAGAACACACUUUCUAAACUGAGUGAAUUUAAUGAAGGAAUGUAAAUAAUUACUGGUCAAAGGAAGGUACAGGGAAGCAUAUAGCACAUUAAAUUUAAUCUAUAUUAAAUAAUGCUUAAUGCCUGCCUAAGUUUUAGCAUAGACAAAGCCCACACUUACAAAGAAUUUUGUCUUUACAUCUUCAACCAUAUCUACAGUAUACAAUUCAGCACAGGAUAGGAGCUCAAAUGUUUGUUAUGUAACUCAAGAUGAAAAAUUCAACUCAUGAGGCCCUAAGUUUUUUUUUUUUUUUUUUCUGUACAAAAGCAAAUGCUGACACCAAUUCCAACCAUUUUGAUACCUGGUAUUAUGUUAACAAACUUUUUAUCUUGCCACAUCAAUAAACACUUGAAAGAAUCAUUUCAUAAUUUCAUGAAAGAAAAUGAUUUUUUUAAAUGGACAUAUCUGUAAUUAAGAUUUUACAAUUAAUUUUG
rnacentral:lncRNA from 1 species